CUUUGAGUGGGGCAGGAGAUGCUUUAAGAAUAAGCUGGAAAUCAGCUUAAGCUGAAAGUUAUAAGCUAUAAGCUGUUUAGGCAUAAGUUAUAAGUACUUUCCCACAGCUCUACCAAACAGGGCUAAUGUUGUGGCAAAUCCUCCAUUAGAAUUUUAUGCAUUCCACAAUUUUGUCAGAAUCUGUUUUCAGGACUCUUGAUCUACUGCAGAAGGAGAGGGGAGGCACAAAUUCAAACAUAGUCUUUAAUUCUGUCAACUGUCUUGAACUUAUUUUGCUUAUGACCAUCCCUAAAUGUUAGUGCUCACAUGUUUAGAGAAUCAAGCACAGGUUUGUUGAAAUUUCCAGAACGACAGUUACUACCAUGGGAUUGAAAAUCUUGACGAACUUGUAACCAUGUUUUUCUUGAUAUGUUGCUACAUAGGGUACAAUCAUGUGCAAUCAGUGAAUUCAUGAUGAGCACCAUUUUUAGAGCCUUUUUAUUAAAUAGUUUUUUGAUGUUUUGACUAUGUUGGUUUUGACAGUGAGUGUCAACUGAUGCUUAAUGAAUCUAUUUUGCUCAAGGGUGCUGCAAUUUUUGAGAUAAAAUUUCUGAAGACAUGAUUUUUAUUGAUGGAUUAUGAGGUAGGAGAAUGAAAGUGCAAGGACUAAGCUGGCUAGCUAAAAGGGUCAUGAUUUUUAUUGAUGGAUUAUGAUUUUCUCUUUCAGUUUUCACUAUCUUCUUUAUUUAUUUAGUUUUAUUUUUUAUUUUUUGUGCAAACAGUAAAAAAAUUUAAACUACUGAUUUUGAUCCCACUCUUUCCUUUUAAAUGUCAUGAAUGCACUUGCUACAACAGCUUUCAACAAUACUUGGCUUAAAUUGAAGAAUAGUGAAGUCAGAGAUUGCUAAAGAAUUCUUUCAUUAGGAUUCAGCAGAACUAAUUAAUCCUUAGUAGGUGAAUGCAACCACCUAUUUUUAUUAGUAGAAUAGUGUCAGAGAAUGUUAGAAACUAUGGUGUUUGGAUUGAGAACAAUAUUUGGUGUUCAACUUAUUCCAUAAAUGGUAUGUAGUGGAUAUGCUCAUUUCAAUCACUUAGUUGGACUUUAGUGGAUAGUUUUCAUUUGUGUUACCAUGCACUCCCCUAUCAGACACUUGACAUUUGAGUAAGAGUAUGUGAUGUGUGUUUGGCAUGCUUAGUUGGACAUACACCAACAAUAUGUCAACACUCAUUGUGAGCAUCUGUGCCAACAUUAGGUACAGAGUUUUUGCCUUCCAAAUUUCCCAAUUUGUAGUCAAAAGGUGAAUAUUCACAAUAUACUAAUUGUAAAUUGUUCCUCUUCAAUUUAACGUAGGUUUUUUAUUUGUAUUCAAUAUACCUAUGUUUCACAGCAGGCGUACCAAUACGUAAUUCGAUAGGGUAUUAACGUUUCCAGUAACAUAGAGGUACACGGAGACCAUCGAGCAAUUUAUGGUUAACAUGUUUCUUCUAUAGCAUCAAGAGUCUAUUGCUAGUGUUGUUCCUUGAGCAUUUCACAUGCAUGUUAAAGUUUGGACCAGUGAAGUUUACGCUGUUUUGAAGUGUAAUUGUGUCUGGCAUAGGGCCACAAAUGGUGGUGGUCAAAGACUAGUGUAGGAGCUAUUUGUGUAUAUAAUGACCACAGGAUGUUUAGGAUGGUAGCUAUGUGGCAGCAGAAAUAACUUGAACAAGAAUCUAUGAGUUGAGUGUAUUUUAAUUGUUAAUUCAUGUUUGAAAAAACAAAAAAAACAAAAAAAUAAUUAAUCUUAGUUUGACAAUACCACAAACUAGAUCAUUAUCAAUACCUACAACAAGGAUCUGCCUAUGUCUGAUAUUAGAGUUUUCUUCUUGUAGCACCCCACAUCAAAUACCCACUUUCUGAUGAAUAGUCAUGAUAUCCUCAUUGUGCCUCUUAUUGUUAUUUUUUGGGGGUGCCUUAGUUAUGUUAUUGCUAAUAGGAUAUGUAUAGUAGUGAGUUACAAAGGUUAUGGUAUUCCCAUCACAUUUUGUUUUAUUGGUUGGAGAGUACACUGACAUCUUUCCUGUCUUACAACUAAAAUGAAACUCUGGAUUAGCUAGGAGUACUACAAAACUCGAUUACAAACAUCAUUCUAGCUAAUUGCACACCAGAAUUUGGAGCAUCACGCUGUUGCAAGUCUGAAUCUGUUUGCAUGAUUCAGUUGACUUUGUUUCUGCUGCAGAUGAAGGUUCUGAGGCCAAAAUUCAAACGUGUUUUAUUUAUUUAUUUAUUUAUUUGUAGUUCAUGAUCAACUUGCAAAAUGGAAAGUUUUGUACAAGUUAUAUGUUUCGUCACCACCGUCCUCUUAAUGUUAGUAUUCACACCUCAUUCAAUUAAACAUUGAAUUGUUGAAAUUUGCAGAAUGACUGAGGUUUUAAUGUCGGAAUUGAAGAUCUCGGAGUCACAACUAUGAUUUUGAGAAGCCUUAUUGUAUAGGGUACAAUCAUGUGCAACAAGUGAAUUCUUGAUGGGUCAUUUUUUAGUUUCCUUUUCAGCUAACCUGAGAGAUGGUUUUAUGGUGUUGAACUCUUCUGGGUUUGACAAGCCAAAGUGAUGCAAGGACAGCUUAAAGGUUCGUGAUGAGUUGAUGACCUUUUUAGCUCUUAAUGAAGCCUAGUUCUCCUCCUUUUUUAGCUGCUUCUUGCCUCUUAGAAGCCGUGAAUGCACUUACUAUGACAGCUUUCAACAACACUGGGCUGAAAUUGAAGAACAGUCAAGUCUGUUAAAAAACAUUCUUUUAGUAGGAUUUAGGAGCUUAGUAGGUGAAUGCAAUUAAUCAUUUUUUUAAGUGUAGGACUUCAAUCAUUAUGGAAUGUGGAUUGGUGUUUGGAGUGAGAAGAGGAUUUGUGUUAUCUGUACUCAAGAAAUGUAUGGUGGAUCAUAUGCUCAUUUCAGUUACUCAGUUGGAGUGUAGUAAUUUAUUUUCAUAUAUCCACAGAACAUGAUUAGUUCA